AUGAACGCUAGCUACAGGCUUAACACAUGCAAGUCGAGGGGCAGCAUGGUCUUAGCUUGCUAAGGCCGAUGGCGACCGGCGCACGGGUGAGUAACGCGUAUCCAACCUGCCUUACACUCUUGGACAGCCUUCUGAAAGGGAGAUUAAUACAAGAUGUUAUCAUGAGUAAGCAUUUUCGCAUGAUUAAAGGUUUACCGGUGUAAGAUGGGGAUGCGUUCCAUUAGAUAGUAGGCGGGGUAACGGCCCACCUAGUCUUCGAUGGAUAGGGGUUCUGAGAGGAAGGUCCCCCACAUUGGAACUGAGACACGGUCCAAACUCCUACGGGAGGCAGCAGUGAGGAAUAUUGGUCAAUGGACGAGAGUCUGAACCAGCCAAGUAGCGUGAAGGAUGAAGGUUCUAUGGAUUGUAAACUUCUUUUAUACGGGAAUAAACGGAUCCACGUGUGGAUUUUUGCAUGUACCGUAUGAAUAAGGAUCGGCUAACUCCGUGCCAGCAGCCGCGGUAAUACGGAGGAUCCGAGCGUUAUCCGGAUUUAUUGGGUUUAAAGGGAGCGUAGAUGGGUUGUUAAGUCAGUUGUGAAAGUUUGCGGCUCAACCGUAAAAUUGCAAUUGAUACUGGCAGUCUUGAGUACAGUUGAGGUAGGCGGAAUUCGUGGUGUAGCGGUGAAAUGCUUAGAUAUCACGAAGAACUCCGAUUGCGAAGGCAGCUUACUAACCUGUAACUGACAUUGAUGCUCGAAAGUGUGGGUAUCAAACAGGAUUAGAUACCCUGGUAGUCCACACGGUAAACGAUGAAUACUCGCUGUAGGCGAUAUACAGUCUGCGGCCAAGCGAAAGCAUUAAGUAUUCCACCUGGGGAGUACGCCGGCAACGGUGAAACUCAAAGGAAUUGACGGGGGCCCGCACAAGCGGAGGAACAUGUGGUUUAAUUCGAUGAUACGCGAGGAACCUUACCCGGGCUUAAAUUGCAGAUGAAUUACGGUGAAAGCCGUAAGCCGCAAGGCAUCUGUGAAGGUGCUGCAUGGUUGUCGUCAGCUCGUGCCGUGAGGUGUCGGCUUAAGUGCCAUAACGAGCGCAACCCUUGCCGAUAGUUACUAACAGGUCAUGCUGAGGACUCUGUCGGGACUGCCAUCGUAAGAUGUGAGGAAGGUGGGGAUGACGUCAAAUCAGCACGGCCCUUACGUCCGGGGCUACACACGUGUUACAAUGGGGGGUACAGAGGGCUGCUACCACGCAAGUGGAUGCCAAUCCCAAAAACCUCUCUCAGUUCGGAUUGAAGUCUGCAACCCGACUUCAUGAAGCUGGAUUCGCUAGUAAUCGCGCAUCAGCCACGGCGCGGUGAAUACGUUCCCGGGCCUUGUACACACCGCCCGUCAAGCCAUGGGAGCCGGGGGUACCUGAAGUGCGUAACCGCAAGGAGCGCCCUAGGGUAAAACUGGUGACUGGGGCU
rnacentral:rRNA from 1 species